rnacentral:rRNA from 1 species
AUGAAUGCUGGCGGCGUGCCUCACACAUGCAAGUCGAGCGGCAGCGAGGGGUGCUUGCACCCUGUCGGCGCGCGGCGAACGGCUGAGUAACGCGUAGGAAUUUGCCCCAAAGUGAGGAAUAACUGCCCGAAAGGGUAGCUAAUGCCGCAUAUGGUCUUCGGAUUAAAGGAUUUAUCCGCUUUGGGAGAAGCCUGCGUUGGAUUAGGUUGUUGGUAGGGUAAUGGCCUACCAAGCCGACGAUCCAUAGCUGGUCUGAGAGGAUGAUCAGCCAGACUGGAACUGAGACACGGUCCAGACUCCUACGGGAGGCAGCAGUGAGGAAUCUUCCACAAUGGGCGAAAGCCUGAUGGAGCAACGCCGCGUGAAGGAUGAAGGCCUUCGGGUUGUAAACUUCUUUUAUGAGUGAAGAAUAUGACGGUAACUCAUGAAUAAGCACCGGCUAACUACGUG